AUUGAACGCUGGCGGCAUGCUUUACACAUGCAAGUCGAACGGUAACAGGCCGCAAGGUGCUGACGAGUGGCGAACGGGUGAGUAAUGCAUCGGAACGUGCCCAGUCGUGGGGGAUAACGCAGCGAAAGCUGCGCUAAUACCGCAUACGAUCUAUGGAUGAAAGCGGGGGGCCGUAAGGCCUCGCGCGAUUGGAGCGGCCGAUGUCAGAUUAGGUAGUUGGUGGGGUAAAGGCUCACCGAGCAAACGAUCUGUAGCUGGUCUGAGAGGACGACCAGCCACACUGGGACUGAGACACGGCCCAGACUCCUACGGGAGGCAGCAGUGGGGAAUUUUGGACAAUGGGCGCAAGCCUGAUCCAGCAAUGCCGCGUGCAGGAAGAAGGCCUUCGGGUUGUAAACUGCUUUUGUACGGAACGAAACGGUCCUGGUUAAUACCUGGGGCUAAUGACGGUACCGUAAGAAUAAGCACCGGCUAACUACGUGCCAGCCGCCGCAGUAAUAC
rnacentral:rRNA from 1 species